rnacentral:rRNA from 1 species
UACGGGGGGGGCAAGCGUUGUUCGGAAUUACUGGGCGUAAAGGGCUCGUAGGUGGCCAACUAAGUCAGACGUGAAAUCCCCAGGCUCAACUUGGGAACUGCGUCUGAUACUGGAUGGCUUGAAUUCGGGAGAGGGAUGCAGAAUUCCAGGUGUAGCGGUGAAAUGCGUAGAUAUCAGGAGGAACACCCGUAGCGAAGGCGGCACUCUGGGCCGAUUCUGACACUGAGGAGCGAAAGCGUGGGGAGCGAACAGG